AAAAAGACAAACCCUGGGUUUCCGUGUCCAACGUUUGACUUCCCGUCUUAUAUAAUUUUUUUUAUAAUUAGUAUUUUUUAUUGUUGUUAGAUGAUAAAACAUGAUUAAUACUUUAUGCAUGACUUGUCUUUUUAAUUUUUUCUAUAUUUUUUUUAAAUAAGACGGAUGGUCAAACGUUAGACACGUAAACUCAGGGUUUGUCUUUUU
rfam:Oryza barthii chromosome 1, whole genome shotgun sequence.